UACGUAGGGGGCUAGCGUUGUCCGGAAUCAUUGGGCGUAAAGAGCGUGUAGGCGGCCCGGUAAGUCCGCUGUGAAAGUCGGGGGCUCAACCCUCGAAUGCCGGUGGAUACUGCCGGGCUAGAGUCCGGAAGAGGCGAGUGGAACUCCUGGUGUAGCGGUGGAAUGCGCAGAUAUCAGGAAGAACACCAACGGCGAAGGCAGCUCGCUGGGACGGUACUGACGCUGAGACGCGAAAGCGUGGGGAGCGAACAGG
rnacentral:rRNA from 1 species